CAGUUCAAAUUUUUGAGAGUUUGUAAGACAGAAUUCGAAAUUACACAAAAAUUCACAUUUUAGGGUUCACAAUUACGUACCGAAGCCUGCAUUUGAAAGUUUUCAGUUG